CAAAAUGUGGCUUAAUUAGCAAAGCACCCCCCUUACACUGAGGACACACCCGUGCAAAUCGGGUCAUUUUGA
rnacentral:tRNA from 2 species